CUCCCAGCCCCCACCCGUGAGAAUCGGCCAGCGCAUGACAUCACGCAACCCCGUGACGUCACUUCGCUCCUGCCAGAUUUUGCCGGGAAUCUCUCGGGAACGAGACACACCUACAUUUACUGGUGUGAGUGUGUAAAAUCAUCACAGACGGCAUGCUAGGUGGGAGAGCCCCUCAUUCCUUCCACAAAGGUUUCUGGUGCACCCCGUGGUCCUGCUAUGACGAAACAGAAAAAAGAAAAAAAGUCCUCAUCCUCAUGGAGCUGAAAUCCAGUCAGGUUUCGGUGUCCUUUUGGUUCCGGGCCAGAUCUUGGGAGCCACUCAGACCUUGGCAAAGCCUCACCGAAUUCUCUGCCAAGCAGAGUGUGUUGCCUGGACAACCUCUAGAAACCAGGUGUUCAACCCACAGGGGACAAAACACAAAGAAAACUGGGUCCUCUCCUGGCUGAGGAGCUAUCGGAGCGGAAAUCUCAAGCCUUCUGCGGGGACCUGAAGGCUGGGGAGGAAGUGCCCCCCUACGCUUGCUUGGCUGGCUCAGCAGUUUGCCAUCUCCUCUCUCCCCUCCACCUGGGGACCUGGGGGUGGGGGUGAUGUCAAGGCCACAGACAUAUCCAGCUGUCUGUUAGGGCGACUGAUCCUAGACAAAGAUAAUAGCCCCAGGGACACGCAGAUACACCAAUAGACGACUUCCGCCUCUCUCUUCCCCACAACCCUGCCCCUCCCGUCUCCUACUUCUGGGGCAAUGCGAGGUCUCCGCUGGUCAGCUGAGGGAACUGGCUGGAGAACUAGAAAACGCUGGAGGCCUAGACUUCCUGAUGGCCUGGGGGGUGGGGGUCAAGGAGAAAGCUGGGUCCUGCCCUAGGGGAGCCGCUGAGUGAGAGGAAGGAAAGGGGCCCCUUUUCGUGGGGACCUCCUGGGCAGGGGACAAAGAGAAGAGGGAAGAGGCUUGGACCAGCCCCCCCUAAUUAUAGGGCCACUGACAAUAAUGGCUAAGGUUUACCCCAC